rnacentral:rRNA from 1 species
UGCAGUCGACGAUGAAGCCCAGCUUGCUGGGUGGAUUAGUGGCGAACGGGUGAGUAACACGUGAGUAACCUGCCCUUAACUCUGGGAUAAGCCUGGGAAACUGGGUCUAAUACCGGAUAGGAGCGUCCACCGCAUGGUGGGUGUUGGAAAGAUUUAUCGGUUUUGGAUGGACUCGCGGCCUAUCAGCUUGUUGGUGAGGUAAUGGCUCACCAAGGCGACGACGGGUAGCCGGCCUGAGAGGGUGACCGGCCACACUGGGACUGAGACACGGCCCAGACUCCUACGGGAGGCAGCAGUGGGGAAUAUUGCACAAUGGGCGAAAGCCUGAUGCAGCGACGCCGCGUGAGGGAUGACGGCCUUCGGGUUGUAAACCUCUUUCAGUAGGGAAGAAGCGAAAGUGACGGUACCUGCAGAAGAAGCACCGGCUAACUACGUGCCAGCAGCCGCGGUAAUACGUAGGGUGCGAGCGUUAUCCGGAAUUAUUGGGCGUAAAGAGCUCGUAGGCGGUUUGUCGCGUCUGUCGUGAAAGUCCGGGGCUUAACCCCGGAUCUGCGGUGGGUACGGGCAGACUACAGUGCAGUAGGGGAGACUGGAAUUCCUGGUGUAGCGGUGGAAUG